GGCUCGCGUCCGUCCGUGAAAACUGUGCGGUGGAUCAGCAUGGGUACAUGCCGUUAGCUUGCAAGGCAGCGCCGUCAUGAUUCAGUAAUUAUUGUCAGACGCUAGUGUGGCGUCGGUGUGGGGCAUCUAAAAUAUCUCGGCCCCCUCGUCAGUUCGACGUUUUUCCAUUCCCUCCUCCCAGCUCGUCGUGAAAAAAUGGCGGCGGCGAGCAGUAUGGGCGAUGGUUCUGGCCUGCCUCGCCUGCUCGACAACGGACUCGAGUUUCUGCUGUAUCCAGUUGACAAGGAGGUGGUCGCGGGGCCAGAUCCGUUGGUGAUGAGGGGUGUCGUGCCGGCGGACACGACCGAAGCCCACUCCUCAUGCGCGGUUGUGGUUGGACACCACGGCGGCGCUGCUGAGCGCGGGAAUUCCGGCGGAGUCGACAACCCAGUCCGUGGAAUCGACCGGGAAGGUGAACCCCAAAGGCGUCGGUGUGGACCAGAAGGUAAAAACUAAAAUUAGUGUUCUGUCUGACGGUUUAGAGUUGGCCGUGCACCUCCGGAUAGAGCAGUUUUCCCUGGUAGAGUCACUCCGCUGGAAGAAACGAUCAGAGGUAGCUAGAGAUUGGGAUGAGUUUUGACUCCCUGGUGGAAGCCUACAAUUUCUAUAACCAGUAUUCUUGGGAGCUAUUGGAUUUGUUAUAAGAUAUGGCAAGAGUCGUCUGGACACCAAGCGGACAAAGUGUAUGCAGGAGAUCAUUUGUGGAUGAUCUGUUAGCACUCAAAUACAGAAAAUCACAAGCAUAGUUUUUGUGUGGCUUGCACUGAGUUUCACUUCUAAGCUGAACAAAAAAUUAUUUUCAUUUGCAGGGUAGCCCGAGCAGUAACAACCACUAUUGCUAAUGCGAGUGCCCUGUAAUGAUCAGAUUUCUUAGAGUUACGGACAAUGGAUGGUUUCAUCGCUGAGCACCGGGCAAAGCCACAACCGUUCAUUAUCCCUUGCUUGCGGUGAAAAGGUUCAUUGGCCAUCGCACAACCAAAUAUAUGGGUACGCAAAAGAUUAGGUGAACCAGCUUAGGAGGAACAAUGUGAACCUCAACAAGGUGUACAACAUAGUUGGCAACUUCUUCGGUUCAUCUCAGAAAGGGCAAGGGGUUACUCCGGAAUCUUUGUGGCCAAAUAAGGCGGGACCAGGCUAACGAUGAUAUGAACAAGACUCUUGUAGUCUUGCGUGUUCAAAAAUGUACAGCAUAACGACCUAGAGUUUUCCAAGGGGAUGAGGAUAGCAGAAUCAAGAAGCUGAUGCGGACAAAUGGAAACAACAAGUGCAGUACAAAUUUUUCGGUGAUGUCAUCACAUUCAACAUAACGUAUCGGACUAAUCUGUAUGACAUGCCUUUUGGGUUGUUAGUUGGUGUAAUCACUUCCAGAGCGUUAUCCUAGCUGGUGUCUUGAUGCGUGACGAGCAAGUCGAGAGUUUCCAGUGUGUACACAUAUAUGUGGUCUGAGAUGCUAAAAGUGUAUUUCUUUUGUGCAUUACAGAGCGGUGCCCUAAUGAGGACAAACGUUGUGAUUGAGAGACAUGAGUAAGGUUUACAAGAGGAAAAUGUUUGAACAAUUUGGUGAGAACCUUUUCUAAGAUGGGGCUUACCAGGUGGAGGAGGUAGAAGAAAUACAUUGCAAGGCACAAUGACGCCGAAAAACGUGAGAAGUGCAGCAAGGUGGUAUACAAGGUGACCAUGUCAGAUGAUGGCAAGUUGUUUGAAUGUGAGUGCAGAUAAUUUGCCCACAUGAGGAUGCUGUGCUGCCAUGCUUUGAAGGUGAUGAAUUACGGCGUGAAGGAAAUAAUCAUGGAGGCAUUAUCGCUGGCUGAAUCAAGGGAUGGGCUAGGCUUUGAGGGCAGGCAAGCUGCUGAGUCAAAUCGAAUAGCAUUGGAUCGGCGGGUGCAAUCAUCAACGUCGAGGGAGAAAUGUUUGACAAUGAGAACAGCAUGACCCUUUCUGGCAAUUGGGAUGCAUUCGCUGGACUGUUGGCUUCGAGCAAGAAACAUGGUGCCGGGUGACCAUGCUCAAGCAGAGAAAAGGUGCCAUAUGAGGGGUCGACCAAGUGGACGAGGUUCUGCAGCAUCUCCAAACUAACAGGUCAUAAGAAGACCACCUUCCCAUCCAUUGAUGUGCCAAAGCAGCCUUGCAAGCCUGCAACCUCCAAGAAUUGUGGCAUUGUAGGCCGCUGUCGCACCUCGUAAACCAGGCCGCUUGGUGCCAAUGUAUCUUAAAGACUUCCGACAAGCAUGUUUUCGAGGAUUUUCUAGUGCGUGAUUUAUAGUUUGAUACCAUGCUUUGUUCCUCCUGAGUGUAAACUAGUUGCAUUUCAAACGAUGCUGAGCCGUUUUCAUGUGGUAGUUGGUUUCCUUGACACUGAUAUCAACUGCUGACAAAUACGAAUGGGUGAUCUAAUUUUUUAC